rnacentral:lncRNA from 1 species
CUGCGGCUCCUUUAAGGAGGGGUCAGGACCUGCCCUGGACCCUGUGGGCCCCCCCAACCCAAGCUAGGCCUGGUGGCUUCUCCCAGGGCACCCCAGCCCCUCCUCACCUAGUCACCAGCUAGCCUCAUUAUCUGGGACAGGUGAGAGUUGACCCCAGCCCAGAACCUGCUUUGGGUGCACUUGGAGCAGGCCAGGCCCAGGGAGGUGCUGAUGGAAUGGAGCCAGAACUGGCCACACAGGGUCCCACAGCCACUGGGUGGCACGGCCUUCCCUCCAGGACAGGGACAGACUCCUGCUUACUUCCUGGGACAACAGACGCCUUGUGACAGUGGAGGCCGCACCACCCACCCCACCAUGAGACUCCAGCGGUGGAGGCCCAAAGGCUCAGCCUGCCCCGGGUCCUGCAGCUCCCUGGAGGCGACCUGUCCUGCCCCUGGUCUCGGAGCAGGCUUGGCCGGCCUCUGCCCAAAGGUGCACAGCCCCCGCUUCCUUGGGGGCAACCUGUCUGCCUCCUGCCAGCCUUUGAG